AUGUCGAAGCCUCCCCCGGACGGCCGCGUGUACUCCGACAUGCUCCGCAGCCGCGCCCUCGCCGCCAGCGCCCACGGCUUCCUCCUCCUCGGCACCCUCAAGUCCCGCUACAGGGCUCACCCGCUCUCCGGCCUGGACCUCCCCGCCGAGCUGUUCCGCCUCCCGGAGUUCGAGGAACCGGAGGAGGAGACCUUGACGUUUGCAGACGGCAUGGCGGGCAUGUGCCUCCUGACCCAAGCCGACGGCGAUGGCCUCAACGGGCCGCCCAAGAGGUAUGCCGCUGCUCAGCUCACCGAGGUCGACGGCGGGCGGCGCCUCCUGCUGCGCCGGUUCUCCUCCGAGACAGGGGAUUGGGACGAGCAGGUGCUGCCGUCCCCGCUGCCGCCUCAGCGGCGGAUGCACCUGGGCCACGAGGUGCUGGACUUCGGAGGCCGGCUCUGGUGGGUGGACGUGAGCUGGGGCGCCGUCUGCGUCGACCCUUUCAGCGACCGGCCCGAGCUCUGCCCCGUCGAGCUCCCUCCUGACAGCAUGCUUCCGAACCAACAGGGCGAGACAGAGAUGGAGCAGCUUGUGCAGCGCCGGCACAUGGGGGUCAGCGCCGGCCGGCUGCGCUACGCCGAGGUCGACCCCUUACACAUCAGGUCCUUCGUGCUCGACAACCACCAGAGCGGCCGCUGGACACUGGAGCACCAGGUGUCUGUUCCCGAUCUCUGGCGCAAUGGGGGCAAUGCCAAGGCGACGCCUUCGAUUGCUGCUAUCGACCCACUAAACGCUGAUGCUCUGCAUCUCAGCGUGGACCAAAUCCAUGUUAGUUUGGACAUGCGCAAGAGGAUGAUCGAGGGUUCUGUGAUUCUUGAUGCAAGCCAGUUGGGUUCAGGUUGUUAUCUGCCAUGUCUGCUCCCGUCGUUUCUCUGGUCUAGCACAAUUCCAGGCAAGAACAAGACUUUGGACACCGCGAAAAACAAGACUCUGGCGGAUGUUUUGGCCGCUCUGUUGAAUGCUAGCAACUUGAACUUGUUCCUCCAGUCGUAG
rnacentral:rRNA from 1 species